GCUAGGGUGGCGUAGUUGUUAGCGCAUCUGCCUAGCAAGCAGGAGACCCGGGUUCAAAUCCCAGCUCUAGUA